GACGUAGGCAGCAAGCGUUGUUCGGAGUUACUGGGCGUAAAGAGUGCGUAGGCGGUCAGCCAAGUUUGGUGUGAAAUCUCCCGGCUCAACUGGGAGGGUGCGCCGAAAACUGGUUGGCUAGAGUAUGGGAGAGGAAAGCGGAAUUCCUGGUGUAGCGGUGAAAUGCGUAGAUAUCAGGAGGAACACCUGUGGUGUAGACAGCUUUCUGGACCAAAACUGACGCUGAGGCACGAAAGCGUGGGUAGCAAACAGG
rnacentral:rRNA from 1 species